CGCUCUUAGCGGUGGAUCACUUGGCUCGACUCCGUUAAGAACGCACUAGCUCAAGAAUUAAUGUGAAUGCAGGACACAUUGAUCAUGGACACUUUGAACGCACUUGCGGGCCCGGGUUCCUCCCGGGGCUACACCUGUCUGAGAGUAG
rnacentral:rRNA from 14 species